GGGUUGUGAGGUUAAGCGACUAAGCGUACACGGUGGAUGCCCUGGCAGUCAGAGGCGAUGAAGGACGUGCUAAUCUGCGAUAAGCGUCGGUAAGGUGAUAUGAACCGUUAUAACCGGCGAUUUCCGAAUGGGGAAACCCAGUGUGUUUCGACACACUAUCAUUAACUGAAUCCAUAGGUUAAUGAGGCGAACCGGGGGAACUGAAACAUCUAAGUACCCCGAGGAAAAGAAAUCAACCGAGAUUCCCCCAGUAGCGGCGAGCGAACGGGGAGCAGCCCAGAGCCUGAAUCAGUGUGUGUGUUAGUGGAAGCGUCUGGAAAGGCGCGCGAUACAGGGUGACAGCCCCGUACACAAAAAUGCACAUAUUGUGAGCUCGAUGAGUAGGGCGGGACACGUGGUAUCCUGUCUGAAUAUGGGGGGACCAUCCUCCAAGGCUAAAUACUCCUGACUGACCGAUAGUGAACCAGUACCGUGAGGGAAAGGCGAAAAGAACCCCGGCGAGGGGAGUGAAAAAGAACCUGAAACCGUGUACGUACAAGCAGUGGGAGCACGCUUAGGCGUGUGACUGCGUACCUUUUGUAUAAUGGGUCAGCGACUUAUAUUCUGUAGCAAGGUUAACCGAAUAGGGGAGCCGAAGGGAAACCGAGUCUUAACUGGGCGUUAAGUUGCAGGGUAUAGACCCGAAACCCGGUGAUCUAGCCAUGGGCAGGUUGAAGGUUGGGUAACACUAACUGGAGGACCGAACCGACUAAUGUUGAAAAAUUAGCGGAUGACUUGUGGCUGGGGGUGAAAGGCCAAUCAAACCGGGAGAUAGCUGGUUCUCCCCGAAAGCUAUUUAGGUAGCGCCUCGUGAAUUCAUCUCCGGGGGUAGAGCACUGUUUCGGCAAGGGGGUCAUCCCGACUUACCAACCCGAUGCAAACUGCGAAUACCGGAGAAUGUUAUCACGGGAGACACACGGCGGGUGCUAACGUCCGUCGUGAAGAGGGAAACAACCCAGACCGCCAGCUAAGGUCCCAAAGUCAUGGUUAAGUGGGAAACGAUGUGGGAAGGCCCAGACAGCCAGGAUGUUGGCUUAGAAGCAGCCAUCAUUUAAAGAAAGCGUAAUAGCUCACUGGUCGAGUCGGCCUGCGCGGAAGAUGUAACGGGGCUAAACCAUGCACCGAAGCUGCGGCAGCGACACUAUGUGUUGUUGGGUAGGGGAGCGUUCUGUAAGCCUGUGAAGGUGUGCUGUGAGGCAUGCUGGAGGUAUCAGAAGUGCGAAUGCUGACAUAAGUAACGAUAAAGCGGGUGAAAAGCCCGCUCGCCGGAAGACCAAGGGUUCCUGUCCAACGUUAAUCGGGGCAGGGUGAGUCGACCCCUAAGGCGAGGCCGAAAGGCGUAGUCGAUGGGAAACAGGUUAAUAUUCCUGUACUUGGUGUUACUGCGAAGGGGGGACGGAGAAGGCUAUGUUGGCCGGGCGACGGUUGUCCCGGUUUAAGCGUGUAGGCUGGUUUUCCAGGCAAAUCCGGAAAAUCAAGGCUGAGGCGUGAUGACGAGGCACUACGGUGCUGAAGCAACAAAUGCCCUGCUUCCAGGAAAAGCCUCUAAGCAUCAGGUAACAUCAAAUCGUACCCCAAACCGACACAGGUGGUCAGGUAGAGAAUACCAAGGCGCUUGAGAGAACUCGGGUGAAGGAACUAGGCAAAAUGGUGCCGUAACUUCGGGAGAAGGCACGCUGAUAUGUAGGUGAAGCGACUUGCUCGUGGAGCUGAAAUCAGUCGAAGAUACCAGCUGGCUGCAACUGUUUAUUAAAAACACAGCACUGUGCAAACACGAAAGUGGACGUAUACGGUGUGACGCCUGCCCGGUGCCGGAAGGUUAAUUGAUGGGGUCAGCGCAAGCGAAGCUCUUGAUCGAAGCCCCGGUAAACGGCGGCCGUAACUAUAACGGUCCUAAGGUAGCGAAAUUCCUUGUCGGGUAAGUUCCGACCUGCACGAAUGGCGUAAUGAUGGCCAGGCUGUCUCCACCCGAGACUCAGUGAAAUUGAACUCGCUGUGAAGAUGCAGUGUACCCGCGGCAAGACGGAAAGACCCCGUGAACCUUUACUAUAGCUUGACACUGAACAUUGAGCCUUGAUGUGUAGGAUAGGUGGGAGGCUUUGAAGUGUGGACGCCAGUCUGCAUGGAGCCGACCUUGAAAUACCACCCUUUAAUGUUUGAUGUUCUAACGUGGACCCGUGAUCCGGGUUGCGGACAGUGUCUGGUGGGUAGUUUGACUGGGGCGGUCUCCUCCUAAAGAGUAACGGAGGAGCACGAAGGUUGGCUAAUCCUGGUCGGACAUCAGGAGGUUAGUGCAAUGGCAUAAGCCAGCUUGACUGCGAGCGUGACGGCGCGAGCAGGUGCGAAAGCAGGUCAUAGUGAUCCGGUGGUUCUGAAUGGAAGGGCCAUCGCUCAACGGAUAAAAGGUACUCCGGGGAUAACAGGCUGAUACCGCCCAAGAGUUCAUAUCGACGGCGGUGUUUGGCACCUCGAUGUCGGCUCAUCACAUCCUGGGGCUGAAGUAGGUCCCAAGGGUAUGGCUGUUCGCCAUUUAAAGUGGUACGCGAGCUGGGUUUAGAACGUCGUGAGACAGUUCGGUCCCUAUCUGCCGUGGGCGCUGGAGAACUGAGGGGGGCUGCUCCUAGUACGAGAGGACCGGAGUGGACGCAUCACUGGUGUUCGGGUUGUCAUGCCAAUGGCACUGCCCGGUAGCUAAAUGCGGAAGAGAUAAGUGCUGAAAGCAUCUAAGCACGAAACUUGCCCCGAGAUGAGUUCUCCCUGACCCUUUAAGGGUCCUGAAGGAACGUUGAAGACGACGACGUUGAUAGGCCGGGUGUGUAAGCGCAGCGAUGCGUUGAGCUAACCGGUACUAAUGAACCGUGAGGCUUAACCUUACAACGCCGAAGCUGUU
rnacentral:rRNA from 1 species